UAUCAAUAAAUCGAUAUAUGUAUUAAUUUGAUAAAAAUCUAGAGUCAAAUUGUUCAGUCAAAGUCAGUGCUAGAGAAACAUGUAGCAUCAUGUCAUUUUCUAGGACACAAGCAGCCCUAAGUUAUAAACAAAUAGAAAAUGGGAAUGAUAUUCUGUCUGAAAAAGAAGACAGUUUGAAGGAAAGUAUCCACCUGUAAGCAUCCAAAUUGAUUCUGAGAGGGGAGGUUUGAUUAUAUUUUAGCCUGACUGAAUGGAAACACAUGGUUGGUCAAAUGACCAUAAAGGUGUAGGGAGUCUUCCUACCAGCUCUGAAAGGGAAACCCAUUAAAUUCUCAAGGGUGUAGACAGAAGCUUGAGUACAUCUCACAGCAACCUUCAGUCCGACUGAGUUGAAAUUAGCAUUGCACAUUAGGUUAAGAACUUGACACUUUCCAAACAAAAAGGAAUUGAAAGACUAAUAUACCUUUGUAUUUUCUGUCUGCUACAGAGGAUAGGUGAUAAUCAUAACAACAUUUUAAAAUAGAGACAGAGCAGCUGUGGGACACAGCAGAGAAGGGAAAUGGUCUUUUAGUGAAGGUGUAUCACCAAUUUCCCCAAAGCUACCUCUUCCCUAUAGAACCUCUCAGUUCUUGGUUUGAAACAGGGAAGACUUUCAACUUUCAAAAUGCAUAAAAAUAUUAAUUCUGGGCUUUAUGUGACUCAUUCCUAUAUGCUUUUGUCAUCAAAACUGCAACUCCUUGAUACAGUUAAAUAUAGUUAUAUUUAUGAAAACUUGUGAAGAAGACCACAUAUGAGGCCACAUACUUCCCUGAGUGAGAAACGGGCUUGCUCUUCUAUCUGUUGCAGCUUCGCCACCAUGCAUUCAUGGAUAUUUGAGGUCAAUCUGUCAGGAUUCAUAAGGUUAUCCAGAGACAAGAAGGUUUGAGGAUGCUCAAGGUGGCUGGAAAUGCCAUCCACAAGCUGCUCCACACACAGAAGAAACACCUGCCUCCCAGAGCAUCAGCUGUCAGCCUGGACUCAAAACAACUUCUUUUGAAAUCAGAGAGUCUAAAGUAGGAGAAAGCUGAUGUCUUUUAAGACCAGUUGCAUCUGCAUGACUCAACAAGGGAAAAGACCUCAUUUCUGGCAAAAUAGUCCUGAUGAGGUUUUGACUCCCAAGGAAGUUGCAUCAACAGAAAGCAGACUACAUGCAAGGCAAAGCUGGACAACGCAGUUCCUCUCUUAUUUUGCACUUUAGGUGAGUUGAAAACUCUAUGUUUCUGAAGCAAUGACAGGAUAUUCCAUGAAUACGCAGUUGCAAAGCAGUAAAUGCUGUAGCAAGCUUUGGCACCCUGUUCUGAAGACCACUAUGGCAAACACACAAAACCCCAUUACCAGCACUGCUCAGAAUUGUUGCUCCAAAUGAGAACUCUGAGACAACUCAUACACAAUGGGUCCCCCCAGCCAUCACUGCUUGCUCCCAGAACUGCAUGGGGCUGGAUGCCAGAGAAGCAUACCUGGGUACCACAAAGUAUUUUGAAGGACUUCUUUUCUUUGCGCUGUAUCUUGUUGUGUCAGUCAGUUUGCUUUGCUGUAUCCCAAGCUACACGACAGAGAUCAUGGGCUGCCCAGACAGCAUUUGGAGACAUAAAACAUCUCUGCAGUUUUUAAGAAAAAAAGGUGCCGUGCCUAUUCCAAAACAAGGAUUUUGCAGGUUUCCAGACAGAGCCACAACCACCCUCAGCUCUGGCCUCCCAGGAGGCAGCAAACCUGCUUGCGCUGAGAUGGUGCUGUCCCCCUAGUACAUCCCCAGCUAUUGGGGGCACUGUAGGUACCCCAGGGUGGGGUUCCUCAAGUGGGCUGCACUGUAGGGGUGUCAGGAAAUGAGAGGAAUGGGAUCUCUUACUCUCACUGUCGGACAGCUUCCGCUUCAUUUCUACUCACCAGGAGAGAAAAUACAUUAUCACAGCCCACCGGGUGCAAGCCAUCACUGGCAGGCUGUUGUGAGGAAGUUAGGGUUUAACAUCCCAGCACUGGAAUUUCCCAGAAGGAGGAAAAACAGCUUUGCUCAGCUCUGAGGAAAAGCUUCUUCAAAAGAGGCUGAGCAAAGGGACACUGUGUCAGUGGGCUUCAGUGCGGGAAAGGUCCAUCAAACCUUGUCUUGCCUCACUGAGAGGAAUGCAUGGACACAUGUCUCAUGUCUAGGUCUAACUAGUGCUGAUAAAGUACUUGCUUUCUUUCUGUUUUUGCUGCUGUUGAGAGGGUGUCUUUUGUUGGGUUUUCUUAAUGGAAGGGAAACAUUCCUGGGAAUGGGACCAAGUCAUUGCAGAACCAGACAGUUUUUUUCCUGAAUGGAGGUGCAAAACAGUGUGCUGGGGUGCAGAGAUACAUAUUUAAGUGCUUGUUGUACCAAAAAAAAAGUAAUUGUAUUUUAAGAGUUGGGCAAGAAUCUGAGCAGGAAAUGAAGCAGAUCAUUAUCAUAUGCCAUAAAAUAUCGAGAUUUUUGUGAUUGUUCCAAGAAAGACAAUGCCAGGAUAUGUUUGGUACAGGUAGUUCAGGCUUCACAUUCAGCUGCUGCCUCCUUCUGUCUCUGAUGACAUGAAACAUUUCAGACACGACAGUGCAUUUCAGAAACAUAAAGCCAGUCCAUUCCAAAUCCUUGUUUUCAGUUAUUCAAGGCUUCAGAACUUGUUCCUUCAGUGCAGGUACUUCUCUUGACUUACCACCUAUCAAAGCUCCAUAUUUUUUAAAAAAUAGGC